CAACUUAUCAACAAGUGUUGUGCUGGCUACGUUGGUGCAACUAGCUCCAUCGAUGAUCAUGUUGCAUAUUUUUUCACCCACAAGACACUGUGUAUGGAAUAUGUUCUCUCUCUGAUUAUUCUCAUACUUUAUUUGGAUGUUGAGGGCUCUCCUUAUAAGCAAGGACUCUCCUUGAGCUGCAUACUCAUUCUCCUCAUUCUCAUCCUCUAGUGA
rnacentral:lncRNA from 1 species